CAGUCAUGCUAGUGAGGAAUCAACUUGAUGGUUUGUGGGUUCGCUCGCAUACUUUCCGGUGCACUUCCUCACUCGGCAGGUUAGCAUCAAUUUCGGUUAUCAUAAAAAAUUUAAGGGAAUGUGGCUUCUCUUCGGUGGAGUGUUAUAGACCCUGGUGGAUGUGGCGAUUGGGAUUGAGGAUUGCAGCGGAUGCCCUCUUGGCUAGUCACCUGGCUUCUGGCGUCACCUCGCUUUUGACAGCUUGCUGAUGAUUGU
rnacentral:rRNA from 1 species